AGAGUUUGAUCAUGGCUCAGAUUGAACGCUGGCGGCAGGCCUAACACAUGCAAGUCGAACGGUAACAGGAAGCAGCUUGCUGCUUUGCUGACGAGUGGCGGACGGGUGAGUAAUGUCUGGGAAACUGCCUGAUGGAGGGGGAUAACUACUGGAAACGGUGGCUAAUACCGCAUAACGUCGCAAGACCAAAGAGGGGGACCUUCGGGCCUCUUGCCAUCAGAUGUGCCCAGAUGGGAUUAGCUAGUUGGUGAGGUAACGGCUCACCAAGGCGACGAUCCCUAGCUGGUCUGAGAGGAUGACCAGCCACACUGGAACUGAGACACGGUCCAGACUCCUACGGGAGGCAGCAGUGGGGAAUAUUGCACAAUGGGCGCAAGCCUGAUGCAGCCAUGCCGCGUGUAUGAAGAAGGCCUUCGGGUUGUAAAGUACUUUCAGCGGGGAGGAAGGUGUUGUGGUUAAUAACCACAGCAAUUGACGUUACCCGCAGAAGAAGCACCGGCUAACUCCGUGCCAGCAGCCGCGGUAAUACGGAGGGUGCAAGCGUUAAUCGGAAUUACUGGGCGUAAAGCGCACGCAGGCGGUCUGUCAAGUCGGAUGUGAAAUCCCCGGGCUCAACCUGGGAACUGCAUUCGAAACUGGCAGGCUUGAGUCUUGUAGAGGGGGGUAGAAUUCCAGGUGUAGCGGUGAAAUGCGUAGAGAUCUGGAGGAAUACCGGUGGCGAAGGCGGCCCCCUGGACAAAGACUGACGCUCAGGUGCGAAAGCGUGGGGAGCAAACAGGAUUAGAUACCCUGGUAGUCCACGCCGUAAACGAUGUCUACUUGGAGGUUGUGCCCUUGAGGCGUGGCUUCCGGAGCUAACGCGUUAAGUAGACCGCCUGGGGAGUACGGCCGCAAGGUUAAAACUCAAAUGAAUUGACGGGGGCCCGCACAAGCGGUGGAGCAUGUGGUUUAAUUCGAUGCAACGCGAAGAACCUUACCUGGUCUUGACAUCCACAGAACUUUCCAGAGAUGGACUGGUGCCUUCGGGAACUGUGAGACAGGUGCUGCAUGGCUGUCGUCAGCUCGUGUUGUGAAAUGUUGGGUUAAGUCCCGCAACGAGCGCAACCCUUAUCCUUUGUUGCCAGCGGUUAGGCCGGGAACUCAAAGGAGACUGCCAGUGAUAAACUGGAGGAAGGUGGGGAUGACGUCAAGUCAUCAUGGCCCUUACGACCAGGGCUACACACGUGCUACAAUGGCGCAUACAAAGAGAAGCGACCUCGCGAGAGCAAGCGGACCUCAUAAAGUGCGUCGUAGUCCGGAUUGGAGUCUGCAACUCGACUCCAUGAAGUCGGAAUCGCUAGUAAUCGUGGAUCAGAAUGCCACGGUGAAUACGUUCCCGGGCCUUGUACACACCGCCCGUCACACCAUGGGAGUGGGUUGCAAAAGAAGUAGGUAGCUUAACCUUCGGGAGGGCGCUUACCACUUUGUGAUUCAUGACUGGGGUGAAGUCGUAACAAGGUAACCGUAGGGGAACCUGCGGUUGGAUCACCU
rnacentral:rRNA from 1 species